rnacentral:rRNA from 1 species
CUCAAGGGACCUCAGCAGUGAUAAAUAUUAAGCCAUAAGUGAAAACUUGACUUAGUUAAGGUUAAGAGGGCCGGUAAAACUCGUGCCAGCCACCGCGGUUAUACGAGAGGCCCAAGUUGACAAACAACGGCGUAAAGAGUGGUUAGGGGAUUUACUAAACUAGAGCCGAACGCUUUCAAAGCUGUUAUACGCACCCGAAAGUAUGAAACCCAAUUACGAAAGUAGCUCUACCUAUCCUGAACCCACGAAAGCUAAGGAACAAACUGGGAUUAGAUACCCCACUAUGCUUAGCCCUAAACAUCGAUUGCACCAUACACUCCAUAUCCGCCCGGGAAUUAUGAACGUCAGUUUAAAACCCAAAGGACUUGGCGGUGCUUAACAUCCACCUAGAGGAGCCUGUUCUAGAACCGAUAACCCCCGUUAAACCUCACCCUCUCUUGUUUUAUCCGCCUAUAUACCACCGUCGUCAGCUUACCCUGUGAAGGAUUUACAGUAAGCAAAAUUGGCACAGCCCAAAACGUCAGGUCGAGGUGUAGUGAAUGAGGGGGGAAGAAAUGGGCUACAUUUGCUAAACAUAGCAAACACGAAUGUUGCAUUGAAACAUGCAGCUGAAGGAGGAUUUAGCAGUAAGCAGGAAGUAGAGCGUCCCGCUGAAACUGGCCCUAAAGCGCGCACACACCGCCCGUCACCCUCCCCAAGCCCCCUGAACUAAUCUAAUUAAAAGCCAACAACCCGCGAAGGGG